rnacentral:rRNA from 1 species
AUUGAACGCUGGCGGCAGGCCUAACACAUGCAAGUCGAACGAGUGGCGGACGGGUGAGUAAUGUCUGGGAAACUGCCUGAUGGAGGGGGAUAACUACUGGAAACGGUAGCUAAUACCGCAUACCAUCAGAUGUGCCCAGAUGGGAUUAGCUAGUUGGUGGGGUAACGGCUCACCAAGGCGACGAUCCCUAGCUGAUCUGAGAGGAUGAACGGCCACACUGGAACUGAGACACGGUCCAGACUCCUACGGGAGGCAGCAGUGGGGAAUAUUGCACAAUGGGCGAAAGUCUGACGGAGCAAUGCCGCGUGAAUGAAGAAGGCCUUCGGGUUGUAAAGUACUGUGGGGGGGGAGGCGUUACCCGCAGAAGAAGCACCGGCUAACUCCGUGCCAGCAGCCGCGGUAAUAC